rnacentral:rRNA from 1 species
CAGUCGCCGCGGGAAUACGAAGGGUGCAAGCGUUACUCGGAAUUACUGGGCGUAAAGCGUGCGUAGGUGGUUAUAUAAGACAGAUGUGAAAUCCCCGGGCUCAACCUGGGAACUGCAUUUGUGACUGUAUAGCUAGAGUACGGCAGAGGGGGAUGGAAUUCCGCGUGUAGCAGUGAAAUGCGUAGAUAUGCGGAGGAACACCGAUGGCGAAGGCAAUCCCCUGGGCCUGUACUGACGCUCAUGCACGAAAGCGUGGGGAGCAAACAGGAUUAGAUACCCCCGUAGUCCCUGUCUCUUAUAC